rnacentral:rRNA from 1 species
UACGUAGGAUCCAAGCAUUAUCCGGAAUUACUGGGCGUAAAGAGUUGCGUAGGUGGCAUUGUAAGCGGGGCAUGAAAUCGUGUGGCUCAACCAUACGGCUAUGUUCUGAACUGCAAAGCUAGAGAGCGAGAGAGGUCACUGGAAUUCCAAGUGUAGGAGUGAAAUCCGUAGAUAUUUGGAGGAACACCGAUGGCGUAAGCAGGUGACUGGCUCGUUUCUGACACUCAGGCACGAAAGCGUGGGGAGCGAACGGG